AAAAAAAGAAGAAGAAGAAGAAGCAGA
rnacentral:sRNA from 1 species